UUUCCACCUAGGUGACGGAGCUGGACUCCAUCUCAAAACAAACAAACAAACAACAACAAAAAAAAAAACAAAUGAGACCAUGGGCUUGGAAAUGCCUUGAAAAAAUGUCAAGUGUGAUUCAGAGUGAGGAAGUAUUACUGUGGAAUAGUUACUGUAGCUAUUGUUACCGGUCGGCCAACUGCUCCUCUGCCUGCUAUAUCCUGACUUAACCUUGGUCUGUAUUUGCCGUACAACAAGGAGUUAACCAAAGAGAGAGACGCCCUCAGGCUGGAGUUAUACAAGAACAGUUCAUUCCUUUCUCUACUGCUUCUGGCCAUAACCGAAGCAAUGAGGACCUGAAGCAGGAGAAAUCAGAAUUGGAAGAGAAGCUUCAAGUCCUGGUGACUGAGAAGGCUGGCAUGCAGCUUAUUUUAGAAGAGCCGCAAAAGAAAUUACAAAUGAUGGCACUCCUGCUUCAACAGGCUAGGGGUUUUCAAGGCACUGUGAAGCCCCUGAUGCGAAACAGCAGUUACCGCAGGCCAUGGAGGAGCGGGCACAGCUGAAAGCACAUCUAGGGCAGGUAAUGGAGUCAGUUAGAUAACUACAAACGGAGAGAGAUACGUAUGCUGAAAAUCUGAAAGGAGGGAGGGCCAUGUGGUGUCAGAGGAAGCAACAGAUGUCGGAGCAGGUGUGCACAUUGAGAGAGGAGAAGGAGGAUAGCAUGAGUUGGGUAUAAGAACAGUAGAUGAGCUUGGCUGAACAGGGCCCUCCAAGGUGGAGCAGCAGCUACAAGCAGAGGCUGACCACCUGCAGAAGGAGCUGGAGAGUCUGGCAGCUCCGAGCCCAGGAGCAAGACACUGAGGGCUUCAGUCACCCGAACCAGGAGUAGGAGGAGAGGCUGCUGGAGCUGGAGCAGGUGGCCGAGCUCUUGCGGGAGCAGGCAGAGUCACGCAGGCAAAUCCUGGAGACCAUGCAGAACAAAUGCACCACCAUCAGCCACGUGCUCACCCAGAACCACAAGCUCAAAGAGCAGCUGUCUCCGCUGCAGAACGGAUUCAUAAAGCUGGUGCCACGGGAGGCAGACACCAAGUUCUGGGGUCUCCAGCUGCAGUGGGUGGCCGCCAAUUGCUUCUCUCUGUCCAGACUAAUGAGAACAUGGAGAUCACCAGUGCACUGCAGUUGGAAUAGCACGUAAAGAGGGAGCUGGGAAAGAAGCUGGGCAAGCUAAAGGACAUGGUAACCCUGCCCCAUCCAAGAAGAGCUGGAAGGCGGGCACCAGCCUCUGGGGAGGGGAGGUGUGAAGCCAGAGGCAGCUCCAGCCUGGGGGACAGGUGACCCCAGCACCCUCCAGGGCAGUCCUGUGACUGUUUCUUGCUUCCCGCCCUCUGACAUUUAGUGGUGGGUUCGUUCUUCCUAGGUCUGGACAUCAUCAUCCCAGCUGGAGUCAUGGAGCCUCCCAAACAUAGGGAAAGAGAUGGUGGUAUAAGAGGUUCCUUAGAGUCAAACUAGAUUCCGGCCUUGGCUCCACUGGUCACCUACUUUUCAUCUCUAAGUCUCGGUUUCUUUAACUUAAAAGGGAAGUUAGCACCUUCCUCUUGGAGGUGCUGAGGAUUAAAUGAGAUAAUACGUGGAAAGCAUUAGGCAUGUAGCACAGUUAGCAGAUGGUGGUUGGCUCCCUCUGCUUUUCCAUCAGUCUGUGGCCUAGUUUAAAUGGUGGGAGGAAGGGUGUGAGAUUUAAGGCUGGUUGUAAGGGAUCAGUCAGUGUAGUUGGAAAAAUUGUAAGAUGAAGUUAUAGGAUAUAGACACAAACCUUCCUGGAAGGCCAGAAAGUCUGCAUAGCUUCAAUAAAGGAUUUGGCUGAAAGCAGCGUAAUCCCCUUUACCUUGAGUUGAUAGCAAUAGAGCAAAUAACAUGGGAACGUGGGGGAGUUUAUUGAAUAGCUUGUUUACUCAUGUGGUCCUAAGACCAACCUUUGAUUAUCCACGGGUGCAUGAUUGCUCUCUACUCGGUGGUCGGCAAAUUUAAUUACCCACAGGUGUGUUGACUCAAAGCCUCUGUCAUUAAAUCUAUGCUGAAUAAAUGCCGUCAGGGCCAGCUAGUCAAGGUGCACAACUCUUUUUGUGCGUGGUGUGGCCCCUUAGCUGCUCUGUCACUGAAUAUUGGUGUCUGAGUAUGUUAUUCAUCUGCCGUGCAACUGGGGUUUGCAGGACAGACCCCUGCAAGUGGUGUCCCGCGUGAGGCACACUGUGAAGGAUCACAACGGACCCCUCGAAAACAAAGGUGAAAAGAACUGCACAGUCAAUAAGUCAGUAAGUCAUUGAUGCCCGCUCGGAAUUUCCAAGUUUGGCGGGGAUUGUUCAGGCUAGGGUUUCAUCAUGGGACAACAGUUAUCAGCUCAACAGGAACAGUAUAUAAAAGUAUUGAAGCAGCUGCUUAAAACUAGUGGAGCCUCAUUUUCACAGGCUCAAUUAAGGGACCUAAUGCAAACUGUUGUCUCACAUAACCCAUAGUUCCCAGAAAAAGGAACGCUAGACGUAGAGCUCUGGGAACAAGUGGGGAGAAAUCUUAAUCAGCAUCAUGUGCAAGGGCAAUGGGUCCCAGUAUCAUCUUUAAUGCUAUGGGCCUUAGUCAGGGCAGCCCUGGCUCCAUUAUACACAGAAGAGCCUAAAAAGGGGAAGGAGGAGGAACCGUCACCUGCUUUACCACCUCCUUUUCCCUCAGCCCCAAUAUCGCCAGGCCAAAAUAACAAAGAGGAAAUGGAGGUUUUGCCUGAGCCCCCUCCUCCAAUAAAUAGGAAAAAAGACAAGAGCUAUGCUACAGCUAUGGGACCCUUUCUUAGGCAAGAGGCAUUAAGUGGGGAGCUCUUAGCCUGCCUGGUAAUACAAGAUUGACAGGGCA
rnacentral:lncRNA from 10 species